GGAGUGCAAUCACCUGCUGGCAUAAUCCCUGGACUCUUCUUAAAGGAAUUCUAAAAAGGGAAACUCAGGAAUGCCUACCUGACUGUCCAGAGAACUGCCAUCCAGAGGAGCAUCCUACAGCAGCACAAGCAUUUCAUCUUCUGGAUUUGUGGAGACAUGUGGGAUUUGUUCAUGCUGAAGGCAGGAGGAAGUCAAGGGAGAAAAAAAGAAUUCUGGGAGAUUUUAAAAACAAAAAUGAUUCUCACUAGGAAACUUGGUAAAACCGAAGAUCCAAAGUGAAACAUCAGGAAACAUCACCAAAAUGAAGCCCGUUGGAUGUUUGCAGCUGUUUCUUUAGUCCUGAUUAACAGGGAUUUUCUGAGAAGAGCUGCACAAGUGCAGUCCCC
rnacentral:lncRNA from 1 species